rnacentral:tRNA from 1 species
GCACGUAUGGUGAAGCGGUUAACACGGCGGAUUGUGGUUCCGUUAUGCGUGGGUUCGAACCCCACUAUGUGCU